rnacentral:tRNA from 1 species
ACCUAGCUGGCUUAGUUGGUGGAGCAUGGGACUCUUGAUCUUGGGUUUGUGAGUUCAAGCCACAUGUUGGGUA